UACGUAGGGAGCAAGCGUUGUCCGGAAUCAUUGGGCGUAAAGCGCGCGUAGGCGGCCCGGUAAGUCCGUUGUGAAAGUCAAAGGCUCAACCUUUGAAUGCCGAUGGAUACUGCCAGGCUCGAGUCCGGAAGAGGCGAGUGGAAUUCCUGGUGUAGCGGUGGAAUGCGCAGAUAUCAGGAGGAACACCGAUGGCGAAGGCAGCUCUCUGGGACGGUACUGACGCUGAGACGCGAAAGCGUGGGGAGCGAACAGG
rnacentral:rRNA from 1 species